CCACCUCAGGCCCCGGGCUUGCUGUUGAGCGCCGCCCGAGAGGGCGCGCCUCGAAACGGUCGGCGGCCACGAAGGCCCCCUAGCGCACAGAGCAUCCGCCCGCGCUGUAGGGGGUCCGCCGUGGCCGCCAGCGUCUUACACCCUGA
rnacentral:misc_RNA from 1 species